GAAAAACUCAUUCAUAUCUUGACAAAGAGACAACUUCUUGCACAGGUUGUAACAGUGUGUCCAUGGAACAGAAAAACUGAAAACCUCUAGAACGUAAAUUACAUGAAGUUCUGUUACGUAGCAGACGACACGAAACUUAAUCAGAUUAAUGGCUGGUUACUGUAAAUGGCGGAUUAUUCGUGACUUGGAGAAACACCUGGUCAUUGUAAGGCCAAUGUUUCAAUGAAAUUUGAGCAUAAAAAUAUACAGACAUGCAGACGUCCAAAUUAGAAGAGGACACGAGUUUUUUUUCCAAAAGUUUUUUCCUUGAAACUCCCCUGAACUAUAACAUUGCCCCAAUGUCAUCUCUGCCUGGAAGAGACCUUAUUUACGGCGUAAAGACGAAAACGGUGGACCUAUAAACUCUUCCUUAAUGUGAAAUAUGAUGUGAAGAGAAUAAAAAAUCGCCACCAACGCGCGGCCGUGCGAAACCAAGAACCGACCCUGAUCAUAGGUAACCUGUAAAUGUUCGCCGAGGAAGAACAAAAAACGCGACAAUUAAUGGCAGAGCUUGGGUGUUAGUAACAGCCACAAUUAUCAGCCAUGAAAUGCUUGAUCAUAAGCACUCGUGGGCUAAUUAAAUGGACGGAAUAUUUGAGGUCACGCACUCAAAGAUUAUUUGCAUCGUAAUCUCAUGUUUGUGAUUUUAUCUUUAGGUUUUUUAAGGUAUUGCCAUGCAAUCAAAUUGGUUUUGAAAUGAAAGAAAUUUUUACG
rnacentral:sRNA from 1 species